rnacentral:rRNA from 1 species
AUGGAAGAAGACGAAAGAGGGGAUGCCUUCCGAGGCAUCCCCAAGCUUAGGAUUUUGGUUGUCCUUAAAUUUUACCUUGGGCAGGGGAGAGGGAGGCGCCAAGACUUGAGGUACAGCUGCCCUCCCUCCCCCCCUUUAUAUAGGCCCCCUAGGGGGGUGCGCCGGCCCUAG